UAUUUAUAAUUAGCGCCUGGACUUUAAAAGUUGACGAGGAUUUGUAAUUAUCGAAAUAUUCGGCGGAUGUUACAACGGAUUUUUGUGUUAAACGUUAAAUAUAUUUAAAAAAUAAAAUAAAUAUUAUAACAAAAAAUAUAUUAAACACAUAA
rnacentral:ncRNA from 2 species